rnacentral:tRNA from 1 species
GAGGGCUUAGCUUAAUUAAAGUGUUUGUUUUGCAUACAGGUGAUGCAAGUUUGUUGCUUGCAGUCCU